rnacentral:rRNA from 1 species
CCUACGGGGGGCAGCAAUUAGGAAUCUUGCGCAAUGGACGAAAGUCUGACGCAGCGACGCCGCGUGAGGGAUGACGGCCUUCGGGUUGUAAACCUCUUUUAUCAGGGAAGCGGUACCUGAUGAAUAAGCCCCGGCUAACUACGUGCCAGCAGCCGCGGUAAUACGUAGGGGGCGAGCGUUGUCCGAAGUUACUGGGCGUAAAGCGCACGUAGGCGGUUAUCUAAGUCUGGGGUGAAAGGUUCAGGCUUAACGCGAACAGUGCCUUGGAGACUGGAUGACUUGAGUUUGGGAGAGGGUAGUGGAAUGGCUGGUGUAGCGGUGAAAUGCGUAGAUAUCAGUCGGAACACCAAUGGCGAAGGCAGCUACCUGGCCAAACUGACGCUGAGGUGCGAAAGCGUGGGGAGCGAACGGGAUUAGAUACCCUUGUAGUC